ensembl:snRNA U2 U2 spliceosomal RNA
AUCGCUUCUCGGCCUUUUGGCUAAGAUCAAGUGUAGAAUUUAAAGGAGGAAAGAUUUAGUUUACUUCAUGGCUUCAGAGGUUUCAGUCCACGUUCAGCUGCCUCCAUUGUUUUUAGGCCUGUUGCAAGGCAGAAACAUC